GGAAGGUGAUGAGAUUGGAGUCGAUUGAGAGAGAGGGUCCCCGCCGGCGCCGUUCAGGGUGUGUUGUGGGGCGGUCCCCAACAUACUUCAUGGUGCAGUAUAGGUAAAAUUCCACAAUACCAACAAGGGGCAGGCCCCGAACACCGCGCAGGACCCAGUUGUAAACCUCAGCUAGGUUUGUCAUCAUUAUACCCCACCGUGCAUCUCCAUCAUCAAAGAGUAAUGACCACUUUUCCUUUGGUUCAUUCUCAAUCCACUGUGAGAAGCUCUUGAUGGAUCUUUCCCGUCUGCGCGUGAUAUUUGGACCGUCGAGCCCGACGUCCUCCAGAGAUAUUUGUUGUAGCUGAUCUUGUACUUGAACUUCUCCUCUAUGGCACAAACAAUGGACUUGGGCUCGAAGCUAGGAUUUUGCACUAUCUGAUGAUACAUGUAUUGAGCAACAAAAUCAACAGUGAGGUUGCAGUGUGUUCCUUCCAAUUCAGCCAGCAAGCAUUCGUGCUCAACCACUCUAGUCACCUCCCACUAAUCCUUCCAUUUCCCCUUGUAUGCUUGCACCCUGAAUGGGCAAUCAUUUCGCACACAGCGGACAUCAUACACCUUCGGCCUACUCUUUUCUACUCUGAACUGACGCUGCAAAGACAAAGUGGACUAUCUCUUAAUAGGCACUUUCACUUCAUCCCCACUUUGGUACAAAGCCCCCAGGCAUACCUCAUUCUCCCUAUAAUCCUAAGGAAUAUUUUCCCCAAUAUUGACUUGUAGGGCGGAAUGGUCAUAAUUUGACCAAUUUUGCGGUACAGGAUAAGCAUCUUCCUCAUCGGACGAGUCACCAUCCACGGCACCAUUGGCCUCCUCUCCUUCCAUCUCCAGCUGCUCUACUAACUUAGGAAUUUCUUCCCCCUCAUCAGCCUCCCCAUUUGGUGCGAGGGUUCUCUGCAUCUCCCCCUUCUUAUUCAUCGUAAUCAAGUUCUUCGUUUCCACCCUCAGUACUCUGCACAUCUUCUUCUGCUUCAACUUCAUCACCUCCUACUUCUUCUUCAAUAUGACUGCUAGAUCCACCCUUCAUGAACAGUUGAACAUACCAUAUGAUUGGUAAACUUUUUCUCGUGCAACCAUUUAUGUAAGUCCGGUAGCUCGAAAUUCCUUCCAGCGGAAGCAACUUCCAAAAAUUUAUGUCGGGCCAUCUUUUGACUACAACCCUCACAUACACAUCUACUUGAUCUCUAUCAACACCAAGGUCCCUACAAAGCUACUUGCAAAUGCCCCCCAAGUUCUCUCUCUUGCUCUUGGAACACAUUUGGUGAAACAGGGAAAUCCACUCAAAUCUACCCCUUCUGGAUCAUAUCUAACCUCCCCCCGGCCCAUAGAACACUUGAAAAUAUAAACUAUCCGACAUGCCUGCCAACAUACAUGAAACGGGUAGUCCAAAUUAAUCUCAGCAAUAUAUAUCAAUUAACUACAAUAACGACUUCAAUUCAAUAAACAAACAACUAUGUAACACUAAACUAAGUUUACUAACUAAAUUUAUUAUAAGCUUCUACAAGAACUAAUAUACACGACAAAUAAAUCUCAGAUGCACUAGAUAUUUCUAAAUCUCAGAUCCACUAAGAUUUUUUAAAUUUACUGUGAUCUAAAAUAAAGCUAUUGUACUACCUAAGGUAAAUCUACUAUACCACCUAAGCUAAUUCUACUAUACCACCGAAGCUAAAUCUAUUUUACUGUCUAACCUAAAUCUAUUGUACUAAGCUACAUUUUAUUAUAUCUAAUUUCAGCUAAAUGUUUCUAAAUCUCAGAUUCACUAGCUAUUUCUAAAUCUCAAAUCCACUAAUAUUUCUAAAUCUAGAUCUAGUCACUACACUAUACUAUCUAAACUACGAGAUUAAAAAAAUUUACCUAGGAACGACGGAAGAAUUUCCUUCCCCCUUCUUCCCUCCUCCUCUCCUUUCUUCCCUCCUCCUCUCCUCUCCUUCUUUUUUUU
rnacentral:lncRNA from 1 species